AAGACACACAAACGAACUCUUGUCUGGUAUUCCGGGGGGCAUGCCUGUCCGAGCGUCAUUGCUGCCCUCAAGCACGGCUUGUGUGUUGGGCUCUCGCCCCCCGCUUCCGGGGGGCGGGCCCGAAAGGCAGCGGCGGCCGGUCCUCGAGCGUAUGGGGCUUCGUCACCCGCUCUGUAGGCCCGGCCGGCGCCCGCCGGCGAACACCAUCAAUCUUAACCAGGUUGACCUCGGAUCAGGUAGGGAUACCCGAAGCAUAUCAAUAAGCGGAGGAAAAGAAACCAACAGGGAUUGCCUCAGUAACGGCGAGUGAAGCGGCAAGAGCUCAAAUUUGAAAGCUGGCUCCUUCGGGGUCCGCAUUGUAAUUUGCAGAGGAUGCUUCGGGAGCGGCCCCCAUCUAAGUGCCCUGGAACGGGCCGUCAUAGAGGGUGGGAUGGGGUGUCCGCGCCCGUGGAAGUUCCUCGAUGCC
rnacentral:rRNA from 1 species